rnacentral:tRNA from 1 species
GCCCGAAUGGUCUAGUCGUAUGAUACCUGCUUUGGGUUCUUUCCGAGAAAUUAAAUGCAGGUGGUCCCGGGUUCAAAUCCCGGUUCGGGCC